AUUGAACGCUGGCGGCAUGCCUUACACAUGCAAGUCGAACGGCAGCACGGACUUCGGUCUGGUGGCGAGUGGCGAACGGGUGAGUAAUGUAUCGGAACGUACCUUUCAGUGGGGGAUAACGUAGCGAAAGUUACGCUAAUACCGCAUAUUCUGUGAGCAGGAAAGCAGGGGAUCGAAAGACCUUGCGCUGAUUGAGCGGCCGAUAUCAGAUUAGCUAGUUGGUGGGGUAAAGGCCUACCAAGGCGACGAUCUGUAGCGGGUCUGAGAGGAUGAUCCGCCACACUGGAACUGAGACACGGUCCAGACUCCUACGGGAGGCAGCAGUGGGGAAUUUUGGACAAUGGGGGCAACCCUGAUCCAGCCAUGCCGCGUGAGUGAAGAAGGCCUUCGGGUCGUAAAGCUCUUUCGGCCGGGAAGAAAUCGCAUAGGCUAAUACCCUGUGUGGAUGACGGUACCGGAAGAAGAAGCACCGGCUAACUACGUG
rnacentral:rRNA from 1 species